UCCUCCAUAGUUUCAGUCGGUAGAACGGCGGACUGUUAAUCCGUAUGUCGCUGGUUCAAGUCCAGCUGGAGGAGCCA
rnacentral:tRNA from 1 species